GAAGCCAGGGCUAGGAUUGCUCGCCUUCGGGUGGUCUUUCCUAGUCCUGGAUACCGUAUAACCUUGGUAAUUCUUAGGCUAAUACGACAAGUUUUACCACCUAGCGCGCUCUGGGCAACCGGUCCGUUAGGGGUCGUGCGAAGCUUCUGCUACGCUCGAUUGGGUGAUUCCGUACACGAUCGGAUCGCUAUACCAAACUGUAAACGGCGCAGUUAUACCUUCGGGGAACGCUGUGUCCGUUUGAGGGCGACACUCGCUCGUGCUUCUGACCUAUCAACUGCACAGCAGCUUAUAGGACAUGCUAUGGUUACUACGGGUACAGAGGAUAAGGGUUCGAUCCUGGAGAGUGGGCCUGAGAGAUU
rnacentral:rRNA from 1 species